AUGGUAUCACUGUCACAGCUCCUUGGACUUCUGCUUCUCUGGGUUUUAGGCUCCACUAGUGAUAUUGUGCUGACCCAGUCCUCAGGCAUCCUGUUGGUGCCUCCAGGUGACAAAGUCACCAUCACCUGCCGAGCCAGUGAGCAUACUGGCAUUGACUUACACUGGUAUCAGCAGAAAGUGGAUCAGGCUCCAAAGCUCCUCAUCAACUAUACCUCCCAGUCAAUCUCUGGGAUUCCAUCUAGGUUCAGUGGCAGUGGAUCAGGAACAGAGUUCACUCUCACCAUCAGUAGCCUGGAACAUGAAGAUGCUGCAACUUAUUACUGUCAGCAAGGCUAA